rnacentral:rRNA from 1 species
GACAGAGGGUGCUAGCGUUGUUCGGAAUGACUGGGCGUAAAGGGCGCGUAGGCGGGAAUAUUAGUCAAGCGUGAAAGCCCCAGGCUUAACCUGGGAACAGCGCAUGAAACGGUAUACCUAGAGGACGAGAGAGGAAAGCGGAAUUCCUAGUGUAGAGGUGAAAUUCGUAGAUAUUAGGAGGAACACCAGAGGCGAAGGCGGCUUUCUGGCUCGUAACUGACGCUGAGGCGCGAAAGCGUGGGGAGCAAACAGG